rnacentral:rRNA from 1 species
UACGUAGGGUGCGAGCGUUGCCCGGAUUUAUUGGGCGUAAAGGGCGCGUAGGCGGCUCUGCACGUCCGUUGUGAAAUCGCCCGGCUCAACUGGGCGGGGUCAGCGGAUACGGCAGAGCUUGAGCAAGCUAGGGGGCAAUGGAAUUCCCGGUGUAGUGGUGGAAUGCGUAGAUAUCGGGAGGAACACCAGUGGCGAAGGCGGUUGCCUGGGGCUUGCUGACGCUGAUGCGCGAAAGCGUGGGGAGCGAGUCCGG